rnacentral:rRNA from 1 species
AGAUUGAACGCUGGCGGCAUGCUUUACACAUGCAAGUCGAACGGCAGCACGGGGGCAACCCUGGUGGCGAGUGGCGAACGGGUGAGUAAUGCAUCGGAACGUAUCUUUAAGUGGGGGAUAACGCAUCGAAAGAUGCGCUAAUACCGCAUAAUCUCUGAGGAGAAAAGCAGGGGAUCGCAAGACCUUGCGCUUUUGGAGCGGCCGAUGUCUGAUUAGCUAGUUGGUGGGUAAAAGGCUUACCAAGGCUUCGAUCAGUAGCUGGUCUGAGAGGACGACCAGCCACACUGGACUGAGACACGGCCAGAC